UACGUAGGGGGCUAGCGUUGUCCGGAAUCAUUGGGCGUAAAGCGCGUGUAGGCGGUUCGGUAAGUCCGCUGUGAAAGUCGGGGGCUCAACCCUCGGAUGCCGGUGGAGUACUGUCGGGCUUGAGUACGGAAGAGGCGAGUGGAAUUCCUGGUGUAGCGGUGAAAUGCGGCAGAGUAUCAAGGAGGAACACCAAUGGCGAAGGCAGCUCACUGGGACGGUAUUGACGCUGAGACGCGAAGCGUGGGGAGCAAACAGG
rnacentral:rRNA from 1 species